UCGAGGAUCUUUAGCAAUGGGCGAAAGCCUGACUAUGCGACGCCGCGUGAGGGAUGAAGGUUUUCGGAUCGUAAACCUCUUUCGAUGGGGAAGAAACUUUGCAUUAACAGUGCAAACUGACGGUACCUAGAGAAGAAGCCACGGCCAACUCCGUGCCAGCAGCCGCGGUAAUACGGGGGUGGCGAGCGUUACUCGGAUUUAUUGGGUGUAAAGGGCAGGUAGGCUACCCUGCGUGUUUUGGGUGAAAUCCUUUGGCUUAACCAAAGAACUGCCCAAAAGACUGCAGGGAUUGAGGCUGGAAGAGGAGAGCGGAAUUCCCGGUGUAAGAGUGAAAUCUGUAGAUAUCGGGAGGAACACCAGUGGCGAAAGCGGCUCUCUGGUCUGGAUCUGACGCUGAACU
rnacentral:rRNA from 1 species